rnacentral:sRNA from 1 species
AAAAACUUUAAUAAUAAUUAUUUGCAAUUACACACAUACACAUACACACAGUUUUUUAUAGUAAUUAAUACAUUUCUAGAAAAAUGAUAAUGUUAUGCCGAUAUAUGAAAAGAAUGAAGAAGGACACACAACUAUCAAAUGAACACUUUGAAAACAUCUCUGAUGUAAAAGAUGACAUACAAAAAAUUUUGCGUAUGCAAGCAACAGCAAAUAUUACUCUAAAUGAUAUACAACAUUUAUUAAAAAUAGAAACUGCUAUUAAACGUUGCGCGUUAAGUCCUGUCAACAUUAAUGAUGACCUUAUAGCACCAUUUUUACCAUUAAGAACAAUUGAUGCAAUCAAGGAGUUUGAUACAUUAUUAAAAACAUCAGAUGAAGCUGUAAAACAAUUUAAGACAUAAUAUCAUGUUAUGUUACGUGUACGGAGACAGAAUUUGAAAACAUAGUUGCAGAGUGGUUGCUUUGCAACACAACGAAACAAGAGAGACAUAGCAAAGGAGAAUG